UGUAUGGUAACGAAGCUGUUGAAGUCCCACACACUCGGUGUACUUUAUUAUAAUAUAUACGGCACAGAAUUGCCACAUUAUGAUGAUCAUGAAGUUUGUGAUCGUUAGAGGAAAUUAAUGAACCUCCUUUUUUCCAAUUAUUAAUUUAGUUUCUAUAUUUGUUUUCAUUUACUUUUGUUGAUUUUAUUUUUUUAACUUUUGUUAUAUAGCCACCAGAUAAAAUAAUGGGAAAAAAUUGCAUAAGAUUUGAUGUGGGUAUUUGUGAAACAAUCAUGUUAUAUACAAAAUUGUUUUCAUUAAAAAAAAAAGAAACAAUCAUGUUAUAUACAAAAGUCUGUACACUUUGGUAUGAUAUUUAUUUAUGUAGCAGCAAGAUUUUGGGACAUACAAUCUCUAUGUUCUUAUAUAUUGCUCAAUAAGCUAGUUUGAAAUCAAUUUGGCAUAAUAUAUAUAUAGCGCAGGUGGCACACCAUACAUGUAUGAGAACUUACAUGAUCUGCUAUUAGCAUGAUAUAUUCUUGAAAAUACAUGUGCCUAUACUACUAACACAUGCAUAUAGCACACUGAUUUUUUUUUUCAAAAAAGGUUAUUGUUGUCAUCGUCAAGACAUGCCACUUGAAACCUUCUAGCUGGUUCGGAAGUGCUUGUUGGUAGUUGAGAUGAAUGGAAUGGGAUGGUGUGGUAGGUGAGCUGGGAGCAUGUAGUUGAAGAUAUAAUAGCACGUGACGUGAGGUAACAUUGAUACGUGCGAAAUUAAGUUGGUGGAUGAUCCACUUUCCAACAAUAAAAAAACAUGAUGUUUCUCUUCCUCUUUCAACUACUUUUUUCUUCUCUUCUUGUUGUGUGUUUCUCUCCACCUCAUAAAUUAAUCUUAUUAUUAUUAUUAAGUCGGGCUACGGAAAUUACUCCAUCUGUUCCUAAAAAUAAAAAUUUUUAGAUUUAUUUUUUGUUCAAAAAUAAUAAUUUUAUAAAAUUUUAAAGUAUUUUUAGUAGUUAAUGUUGAAAAGUUGUAUACUUUAAAAAAAACACUAAUUGAAAAUAUUUGAAUUGUUUGAAUAUUAUUGGUUGAUAUUUAUUAGAAAAUAUAUGUAAAAUAAAUAAUAAAUUCAAUUGUAAAUAUUUAUUAUAUUCUUAAUAUAUAUGAAUACUCUAGAAAAUCAAUCUUCGUAAAACUAUUAAAGUGUAGUAAUAAAGAAGGGGUUAUGAAUUGCAUAAACGAAAAUAUGCCACGUUAAGUUUAUAGGAACCGAUCAUCGGUGUUCAUUGACAUGGUAGCUAGUACCACCAUUUUCUUUCUUUUUGAUUUUAUUCACCAACAUUAAUGAUGUUUUGAUCGUCGACAAUACCUCUUACUUCUCCAAACUUAUCUUAGUUCCAAGAAUAAUCUUUUCAACCAUUUUUUUAUUUCUUCUUAUUCUUCACAAUUGAUUUUAUUAAAGUCUAAACAUUCAUUAUAAUGUGAGAUAUUAUCUUUAGUAAUAUACGAAAUAUCCAUAUCUUCUCUCUCAUUGACUUGGUCCCUUGUCUUCAUCUUCCUCGCUUAGUGUAUUGACCCCAUUGUCUUUGUUUACUCGCAUAGGAUUGCUGAAACUAGAAUCCAUGUCACAUGUGCACUGGUCUACGAGAAGAUGCCAACAGGAAGGAUACACAAGGGAGUGUGUUCGACUUGGAUGAAGGUAAACAUAUCUCAUUGUGAUCUUUUUGCCAUUUUUUAUCAUUUUAAUCUAAAAUUUUGCUUUUGCGUUGUAAUGACAGAGUGCUGUGCCUUAUGAGAAGAGUGAAAACUGUUGCUCAGCACCGAUAUUUGUUAGGCAAUCCAACUUCAAGCUUCCUUCUGAUUCUAAAGUACCGAUUAUAAUGAUCGGUCCAGGGACAGGAUUGGCUCCUUUCAGAGGUUUCCUUCAGGAAAGGCUUGCGUUGGUAGAAUCUGGUGUUGAACUUGGACCAUCAGUUUUGUUCUUUGGAUGCAGAAACCGCAGAAUGGUAAUAAAACCAUUCUCAAAAACUCUUAUCAAAAUCAUCUGUUAGUUCAGUUUCUCUAACUCUUCUUGUAUUUGCAGGACUUCAUCUACGAGGAAGAGCUCCAGAGGUUUCUAGAGAGUGGUGCACUCUCAGAGCUAAGCGUGGCCUUCUCUCGUGAAGGACCAACCAAAGAGUAUGUACAGCACAAGAUGAUGGACAAGGUAUGAGUCUAAUAACCAGAUCUUUGCAUAGUUUCUCAGAUUCUUGGGCUGACAAUUAUUUGCAAUGCAGGCUUCUGAUAUAUGGAACAUGAUCUCUGAAGGAGCUUAUGUAUAUGUUUGUGGUGACGCCAAAGGCAUGGCAAGAGACGUUCACAGAUCUCUCCACACAAUAGCUCAAGAACAGGUUCGUUUGAGACCCAAAAACAUGAGUUCUCAUCACAUCACAAACAGAGUGUUUAUUGAUUAUGUCUUGUCUUUGUUUUUCAGGGAUCAAUGGAUUCGACGAAAGCAGAGAGCUUUGUGAAGAAUCUGCAAAUGAGUGGAAGGUAUCUUAGAGAUGUAUGGUAACGAAGCUGUUGAAGUCCCACACACUCGGUGUACUUUAUUAUAAUAUAUACGGCACAGAAUUGCCACAUUAUGAUGAUCAUGAAGUUUGUGAUCGUUAGAGGAAAUUAAUGAACCUCCUUUUUUCCAAUUAUUAAUUUAGUUUCUAUAUUUGUUUUCAUUUACUUUUGUUGAUUUUAUUUUUUUAACUUUUGUUAUAUAGCCACCAGAUAAAAUAAUGGGAAAAAAUUGCAUAAGAUUUGAUGUGGGUAUUUGUGAAACAAUCAUGUUAUAUACAAAAUUGUUUUCAUUAAAAAAAAAAGAAACAAUCAUGUUAUAUACAAAAGUCUGUACACUUUGGUAUGAUAUUUAUUUAUGUAGCAGCAAGAUUUUGGGACAUACAAUCUCUAUGUUCUUAUAUAUUGCUCAAUAAGCUAGUUUGAAAUCAAUUUGGCAUAAUAUAUAUAUAGCGCAGGUGGCACACCAUACAUGUAUGAGAACUUACAUGAUCUGCUAUUAGCAUGAUAUAUUCUUGAAAAUACAUGUGCCUAUACUACUAACACAUGCAUAUAGCACACUGAUUUUUUUUUUCAAAAAAGGUUAUUGUUGUCAUCGUCAAGACAUGCCACUUGAAACCUUCUAGCUGGUUCGGAAGUGCUUGUUGGUAGUUGAGAUGAAUGGAAUGGGAUGGUGUGGUAGGUGAGCUGGGAGCAUGUAGUUGAAGAUAUAAUAGCACGUGACGUGAGGUAACAUUGAUACGUGCGAAAUUAAGUUGGUGGAUGAUCCACUUUCCAACAAUAAAAAAACAUGAUGUUUCUCUUCCUCUUUCAACUACUUUUUUCUUCUCUUCUUGUUGUGUGUUUCUCUCCACCUCAUAAAUUAAUCUUAUUAUUAUUAUUAAGUCGGGCUACGGAAAUUACUCCAUCUGUUCCUAAAAAUAAAAAUUUUUAGAUUUAUUUUUUGUUCAAAAAUAAUAAUUUUAUAAAAUUUUAAAGUAUUUUUAGUAGUUAAUGUUGAAAAGUUGUAUACUUUAAAAAAAACACUAAUUGAAAAUAUUUGAAUUGUUUGAAUAUUAUUGGUUGAUAUUUAUUAGAAAAUAUAUGUAAAAUAAAUAAUAAAUUCAAUUGUAAAUAUUUAUUAUAUUCUUAAUAUAUAUGAAUACUCUAGAAAAUCAAUCUUCGUAAAACUAUUAAAGUGUAGUAAUAAAGAAGGGGUUAUGAAUUGCAUAAACGAAAAUAUGCCACGUUAAGUUUAUAGGAACCGAUCAUCGGUGUUCAUUGACAUGGUAGCUAGUACCACCAUUUUCUUUCUUUUUGAUUUUAUUCACCAACAUUAAUGAUGUUUUGAUCGUCGACAAUACCUCUUACUUCUCCAAACUUAUCUUAGUUCCAAGAAUAAUCUUUUCAACCAUUUUUUUAUUUCUUCUUAUUCUUCACAAUUGAUUUUAUUAAAGUCUAAACAUUCAUUAUAAUGUGAGAUAUUAUCUUUAGUAAUAUACGAAAUAUCCAUAUAUUUUGUGUAGUAAUAUACGAAAUAUCCAUAUAUGUUUUACCAAAAAAAGAAAAGAAAUAUCCAUAUAUUUUAUUUAUACCUGUAUUGAUUUUUCCUGAGAAAAAAAAAGGAAUUUUUUUUAUUUCAAUAUGUGAAAAUCCUAGGAAUAGUAUGAUUUGUUACCCGUUGACCAAAGUAAGUGUAGAAUUUUAUUUACUCGAUAAAGAUGAUACCACAGAAAUAAAAAAAAUCAAGUAGACAUUGGUAGGUAAUCCACGUGUAAAUGAUUUCCCAUGAUCGUAUAUUUGUAUGAUUGAUUUCAGUACUUCACAAUCACAUGUUUGUCAACGUCACGACCUCGACCUGACAUGGAAUUUUGACUUAGAAUAAUUAAAGAGUUAAAUGUGAAUUCUUAUUCAACGGACCGUAGUUUUUCUUGACCUAGUAUAAUUAAAAACAUAAUUCAACUCAAACGAUUUUUCCUUUUUAUAUAACCUCAACUUUCUCAAAUAACAAGUAGACAGUAAAAUUUACUUAUACUGUAAAACUAUUCUACAAUACUGUAUUCGUCAUGGCUAAAGUAGCACGUGGUUUUUAACACUAAUCGAAAUGGGUCAUUUAGUUUCUCUGAAUGUGGCCAGUAGAUUCCUCAUAUGUAUUUUGGGCCGCAAUUUAAGGCCUGGAAACGAUGGUUAUAAGAAACGACAAGCAUUCUAUCCUUAGCUACAGAAAAUCGGCAAGGGGUUUUGGUUUCUCAAAGAACUAAACGGCUUGUGGCUUUCUUUAGUUUCAAGGUAUCAAAGAUUCAACAACAGCUAAAAAAGCUGAAAUCUCACAAGUUGGGUUAAGAUGCUCAUAGAAUACAACAAGACAGGGGAUUCCUAAGCCCACCAGCACAGGCUAGUCUUGUUCAGCGUCUCCCAGUUCUUCAUCUUCUGACACACCUCGGACAUACAAAACGUUGUUGCAUCUGUUUGAUCAAAACCAGUAAAUUAAAACCAAGAGAUCCAAAAAAGUUAACACAACUAACAGAGGUUAAAAUGAUGAAUGUGUGUUCAGUUAACAGCCAGGUCCAGUUCUCAAGUCUCAUCAACUAAUGACACUUCAAUUUUGUAAGUGGUAACUUUGAGAAUGAAGUAAGACAAAAGAGGUUGUAUAUUACCUGAUCAAGAUCUCUCCGAGGUUUCCUGUCAAUUGUCCAUCGAUGUAUUCUUCAGUGUUUCCAAGCUGCGAAACAGUAGCUAAACUCAAAUGACUAAACUGAAAAGAAUGAAUUAUUUUUUUAUCACUCAGUCAGUUUUCAGCAUUAGGUUUGACACUGUAACAUCAAUCUUUGUUUAACAUUUACAUGAUUUUAUAAAAUCACAAAUACGUUGUCCCAACUUUCAGAUUUACAGUGUAAAACAAAAUCACAAAUUUACAGUGUAAAUUAAUUUUCAAAAUCUUGUACAAACAAGUUCUUAAAAAAAAAUUGUGUACAAACUAUAUCACCUAGAAUUGUAUCCCGAGCCUCUUGGUGAACAUUAAUUAUUAUUUUGGUCGAACUAUUACAUUAAGGAGUCUUCCACCAUUUAUGUUUUAUAGACCAUGGUGGAGAAAAACGAAAUGAGAAGUUUCAAAAAGAGAGCAUAUAAAUCAAUGACCAAACAGAUCGGCUAGAGCAGGUUCAUAUGUUGUCUCAUUUUCCUCCUUUUAGUGAUAUUGUUACUUAAUUUAAGUUUUACAGUUUACAAAAAAAAUUGAAGUUUUAUAUUUUGCAUUUGAUUGAAGUUUAUGUAUGUGUUUGGGAUUAAAAUCAAUUUUUAAUUUUAGCCCAAAAAAAAACUUAAUGUAAUCAAAGGAAAUUAUAAAAAUAAAACUUGAAACUUCUGUGAUAAAAAAAAAAACUUGAAAUUUCAGUGUUUGAAACGUUUACAGAAUGAAAAGGACCCAGCGUGAGGUUUUUCCCAGACGGAGAGUUUUGAAACAGUGAUGGGAGAAACUCGCGGCGGAUCCGGUCAUUUGUUGCUAUGAAACAGCUGACCAUUCGGCCUUCUCUCGUGAAGGACCAACCAAAGAGUAUGUACAGCACAAGAUGAUGGACAAGGUAUGAGUCUAAUAACCAGAUCUUUGCAUAGUUUCUCAGAUUCUUGGGCUGACAAUUAUUUGCAAUGCAGGCUUCUGAUAUAUGGAACAUGAUCUCUGAAGGAGCUUAUGUAUAUGUUUGUGGUGACGCCAAAGGCAUGGCAAGAGACGUUCACAGAUCUCUCCACACAAUAGCUCAAGAACAGGUUCGUUUGAGACCCAAAAACAUGAGUUCUCAUCACAUCACAAACAGAGUGUUUAUUGAUUAUGUCUUGUCUUUGUUUUUCAGGGAUCAAUGGAUUCGACGAAAGCAGAGAGCUUUGUGAAGAAUCUGCAAAUGAGUGGAAGGUAUCUUAGAGAUGUAUGGUAACGAAGCUGUUGAAGUCCCACACACUCGGUGUACUUUAUUAUAAUAUAUACGGCACAGAAUUGCCACAUUAUGAUGAUCAUGAAGUUUGUGAUCGUUAGAGGAAAUUAAUGAACCUCCUUUUUUCCAAUUAUUAAUUUAGUUUCUAUAUUUGUUUUCAUUUACUUUUGUUGAUUUUAUUUUUUUAACUUUUGUUAUAUAGCCACCAGAUAAAAUAAUGGGAAAAAAUUGCAUAAGAUUUGAUGUGGGUAUUUGUGAAACAAUCAUGUUAUAUACAAAAUUGUUUUCAUUAAAAAAAAAAGAAACAAUCAUGUUAUAUACAAAAGUCUGUACACUUUGGUAUGAUAUUUAUUUAUGUAGCAGCAAGAUUUUG
rnacentral:lncRNA from 1 species